ACGAACGCUGGCGGCAUGCCUAACACAUGCAAGUCGAACGAGACCUUCGGGUCUAGUGGUGCACGGGUGCGUAACGCGUGGGAACCUGCCCUUAGGUUCGGAAUAACUCCCCGAAAGGGGUGCUAAUACCGGAUAAUGUCUUCGGACCAAAGAUUUAUCGCCUUUGGAUGGGCCCGCGUUGGAUUAGCUAGUUGGUAGGGUAAAAGCCUACCAAGGCGACGAUCCAUAGCUGGUCUGAGAGGAUGAUCAGCCACACUGGGACUGAGACACGGCCCAGACUCCUACGGGAGGCAGCAGUGGGGAAUAUUGGACAAUGGGCGAAAGCCUGAUCCAGCAAUGCCGCGUGAGUGAUGAAGGCCUUAGGGUUGUAAAGCUCUUUUACCCGGGAUGAUAAUGACAGUACCGGGAGAAUAAGCUCCGGCUAACUCCGUG
rnacentral:rRNA from 1 species